UACGUAGGGUGCGAGCGUUGUCCGGAAUUAUUGGGCGUAAAGGGCUCGUAGGCGGUUUGUCGCGUCGGGAGUGAAAACCUUGGGCUUAACUCAGGGCUUGCUUUCGAUACGGGCAGACUAGAGGUAUGCAGGGGAGAACGGAAUUCCUGGUGUAGCGGUGAAAUGCGCAGAUAUCAGGAAGAACACCUAUGGCGAAGGCAGCUCUCUGGGACGGUACUGACGCUGAGACGCGAAAGCGUGGGAGCGAACAGG
rnacentral:rRNA from 1 species